UAAUUUGAAGAAGGUAUCUUUGGGUCUGGCUCUUGUCUAUGUUUCUUGGAACAGAACGUCACAGAGGGUGAGAAUCCCGUGCGAUGAGAUGAUCCAGGCCUAUGUAAAGUUCCUUCGAAGAGUCGAGUUGUUUGGGAAUGCAGCUCUAAGUGGGUGGUAAAUUCCAUCUAAAGCUAAAUAUUGGCGAGAGACCGAUAGCGAACAAGUACAGUGAUGGAAAGAUGAAAAGAACUUUGAAAAGAGAGUGAAAAAGUACGUGAAAUUGUUGAAAGGGAAGGGCUUGAGAUCAGACUUGGUAUUUUGUAUGUUACUUCUUCGGGGGUGGCCUCUACAGUUUAUCGGGCCAGCAUCAGUUUGGGCGGUAGGAGAAUUGCGUUGGAAUGUGGCACGGCUUCGGUUGUGUGUUAUAGCCUUCGUCGAUACUGCCAGCCUAGACUGAGGACUGCGGUUUAUACCUAGGAUGUUGGCAUAAUGAUCUUAAGUCGCCCGUCUUGAAACACGGACCAAGGAGUCUAACGUCUAUGCGAGUGUUUGGGUGUAAAACCCGUACGCGUAAUGAAAGUGAACGUAGGUGGGGGCCCGUAUGGG
rnacentral:rRNA from 1 species